AUUGAACGCUGGCGGCAUGCCUUACACAUGCAAGUCGAACGGGGAAAGCUUUCGGGUGAGUACUAGUGGCGCACGGGUGAGUAACGCGUGGAUAAUCUGCCUUAGAGUGGGGGAUAACUAGUCGAAAGAUUAGCUAAUACCGCAUAAGACCACAAGAACUGCGGUUCAAGAGGUCAAAGGUUUUUCGCUCUAAGAUGAGUCCGCGUAAGAUUAGCUAGUUGGUGAGGUAACGGCUCACCAAGGCAACGAUCUUUAACCGGUCUGAGAGGAUGAUCAGUCACACUGGAACUGAGACACGGUCCAGACUCCUACGGGAGGCAGCAGUAGGGAAUAUUGCACAAUGGAGGAAACUCUGAUGCAGCGACGCCGCGUGAGUGAUGAAGGCCUUCGGGUCGUAAAGCUCUGUCGCAGGGGAAUAACACAAUGAAUGUACCCUGUAAGAAAGGAUCGGCUAACUUCGUGCCAGCCGCCGCAGUAAAAC
rnacentral:rRNA from 1 species